rnacentral:pre_miRNA from 1 species
GGCCAUCAUAAAACCGUCUAAAGAGUACGCUUCUAUGCAUAGAAGUGUACUCUUUAGACGGUUCUAUGAUGAUU